rnacentral:rRNA from 1 species
UAGAGGCCUACCAUGGUGGUAACGGGUAACGGGGUGUUAGGGCACGACACCGGAGAGGGAGCCUGAGAAACGGCUACCACAUCCAAGGAUGGCAGCAGGCGCGCAAAUUACCCAAUCCCGACACGGGGAGGUAGUGACAAUAAAUAACAAUACGGGGUUCUUUCGGAUCUCGUAAUUGGAAUGAGUACAAUUUAAAUCUCUUAACGAGGAACAAUUGGAGGGCAAGUCUGGUGCCAGCAGCCGCGGUAAUUCCAGCUCCAAUAGCGUAUAUUAAAGUUGUUGCAGUUAAAAAGCUCGUAGUUGAAUUUCGGGGUUAGUAGGUUGGUCAUGCCUCUGGUAUGUACUGGUCUCACUGAUUCCUCCUUCCUGAUGAACCGUAAUGCCAUUAAUUUGGUGUUGCGGGGAAUUUGGACUGUUACUUUGAAAAAAUUAGAGUGUUUAAAGCAAGCUAACGCUUGAAUACAUUAGCAUGGAAUAAUGAAAUAGGACGUUCGAUCCUAUUUUGUUGGUUUCUAGGAUUGACGUAAUGAUUAAUAGGGAUAGUUGGGGGCAUUAGUAUUCAAUUGUCAGAGGUGAAAUUCUUGGAUUUAUUGAAGACUAACUACUGCGAAAGCAUUUGCCAAGGAUGUUUUCAUUAAUCAAGAACGAAAGUUAGGGGAUCGAAGACGAUCAGAUACCGUCGUAGUCUUAACCAUAAACUAUGCCGACUAGGGAUCGGAUGAU